CCAAAGGCUCUUUUCAGAGCCAUUAUUUUCCCUAGCAGGCAGCAG
rfam:Callithrix jacchus chromosome 17, whole genome shotgun sequence